ACCCUAAACCCUGGGAUAAAUCAUAAUUCUAAAUCAAAAACACUAAACACUAAAAUCAUAAACCCUUGAGUGUUUUAGUGUUUAUUGUUUUUGAUUUAGAGUUUAUGAUUUAUCCAAGGGUUUAUGAUUUAUUCAAGGGUUUAGAGUAUCGGAUUUAGGGUUUAGGGAUUAGGAUUUAAGGUUUAGUUUUUUUCCUGACGACGUUAAAAAUAUUGUUUUUGUAAUUACUACUAUUUUUAUUUUUUAUUUUUUAUUUUUUUAAUCCUUUUAUUUUAAAAACAUAAUAUAACUUGACAAUAUUUUGUUUCCUUUUAUAAAAGAUAUCAAAUUUGAAAUAACAUAAUCCUAUUGGUUGGUGAGCCUAGAGGUUCACCCUAGGGGGUGAACCCAAGAAUAAGUCAUUUUUAAUAUUGACAUCUGUUAAAAAAUAUUUUAUACUCAUAUUAUUUUUGAUCAUUUGUAUUUCCUUAUAACAAAUUUUUUAAAUCAAUAAUAACAAUAAAAAAAAUUUGGGAUGUUUAAUAGUUUUAGUAAUUAAUAAUUUU
rnacentral:lncRNA from 1 species